rnacentral:lncRNA from 1 species
CUCGAGGUAUCAUCCUGCAGUAAUAGGAAUCUCACCUUGCGAUAUUGCCUUUCAUCAUUUUGAGUCUUGCAUCUCAUGCCCGAUCCACCUUCACCUGGAGCUCCACCUUGCUCUGGACUCCUCCUGGCUCCUAAAGCUCCACCUCGCACUGGGCUCCCUACUAGGUAGUAAUGUCCUCUCAUCUUCUUCUUUCCCUCCAGAAUAAGCCUAUCGCCACGUAGCACCUUCAGGAUUUCUCUACUAGCUACCAUCCUGUAUCCUCUCGAAUCUAGUCUACUCAGUGAGAUAAGAUUUCAUCUAAAAUUGGGU